rnacentral:rRNA from 1 species
GUCUUUAAGUAUAAAAUUUAAAGUCUAACCUGCCCACUGAUUAAAUAUUAAAGGGCCGCGGUAUUUUGACUGUGCAAAGGUAGCAUAAUCAUUUGUCUCUUAAUUGGAGGCUGGAAUGAAUGGUUGAAUGAAAUAUUAACUGUCUCAUUAUUAAAAUAAUAAAAAUUUAGCUUUUAAGUUAAAAGGCUUAAAUUUAAUUAGAGGACGAGAAGACCCUAUAGAUCUUUAUAUUUUUAUAGAAUUUAAAAUAUUGAAUUAAAUUAAUUAAAAAAUUUAAAAAUAUUUUAUUGGGGUGAUAGGAAAAUUAAAUAAACUUUUAUUAAUAAAUAAACAUUAAUUUAUGAAAAAUUGAUCCAUUUUUAAUGAUUAUAAGAUUAAGUUACCUUAGGGAUAACAGCGUAAUUUUUUUAAAGAGUUCAUAUCGAUAAAAAAGAUUGCGACCUCGAUGUUGAAUUAAAGGUUAUUUCUAAAUGCAGAAGUUUAGAGUUUAGGUCUGUUCGACCUUUGAAUCUUU